rnacentral:lncRNA from 1 species
GCAUGGUUUAGGUCGGUAACAACUCAAUAAUUUGUAUCUGAGCCGCCGUAUUUGAUGGAUCCACGCCAACUUGCUUCAUCAUCGUACGCCCCACAACAAUUCCCCACCUAAUGUCAACCCACCCAAACCCAACAACCAACCUCACAACAUCAACCUACCACAUACACACAACAACCAAACAUCCAACCUCGUAACCCGUUCAUGC